rnacentral:rRNA from 1 species
UACGUAGGGGGCAAGCGUUGUCCGGAUUUAUUGGGCGUAAAGAGCGUGUAGGCGGCCUUACAGGUCAGCUGUGAAAACUCGAGGCUCAACCUCGAGACGUCGGUUGAAACCGUAAGGCUAGAGUCCGGAAGAGGAGAGUGGAAUUCCCGGUGUAGCGGUGAAAUGCGCAGAUAUCAGGAAGAACACCCGUGGCGAAGGCGGCUCUCUGGGACGGUACUGACGCUGAGACGCGAAAGCGUGGGGAGCGAACAGG